rnacentral:rRNA from 1 species
AACGAACGCUGGCGGCAUGCCUAAUACAUGCCAGUCGAACGAGAACAUCGGGUCGAGUGGCGCACGGGUGCGUAAGGCGUGGGAACCUGCCCUUAGGUUCGGAAUAACUCCCCGAAAGGGAUGCUAAUACCGGAUAAUGUCUUCGGACCAAAGAUUUAUCGCGUUUGGAUGGGCCCGGGUGGGAUUAGCUAGUUGGUAGGGUAAAAGCCUACCAAGGCGACGAUCCAUAGCUGGUCUGAGAGGAUGAUCAGCCACACUGGGACUGGGACACGGCCCAGACUCCUACGGGAGGCAGCAGUGGGGAAUAUUGGACAAUGGGCGAAAGCCUGAUCCAGCAAUGCCGGGUGAGUGAUGAAGGCCUUAGGGUUGUAAAGCUCUUUUACCCGGGAUGAUAAUGACAGUACCGGGAGAAUAAGCUCCGGCUAACUCCGUG